UAGGGAAUCUUCGGCAAUGGACGGAANUCUGGACCGAGCAACGCCGCGUGAGUGAAGAAGGUUUUCGGAUCGUAAAGCUCUGUUGUAAGAGAAGAACGAGUGUGAGAGUGGAAAGUUCACACUGUGACGGUAUCUUACCAGAAAGGGACGGCUAACUACGUGCCAGCAGCCGCGGUAAUACGUAGGUCCCGAGCGUUGUCCGGAUUUAUUGGGCGUAAAGCGAGCGCAGGCGGUUAGAUAAGUCUGAAGUUAAAGGCUGUGGCUUAACCAUAGUAGGCUUUGGAAACUGUUUAACUUGAGUGCAAGAGGGGAGAGUGGAAUUCCAUGUGUAGCGGUGAAAUGCGUAGAUAUAUGGAGGAACACCGGUGGCGAAAGCAGCUCUCUGGCUUGUAACUGACGCUGAGGCUCGAAAGCGUGGGGAGCAAACAGGAUUAGAUACCCUGGUAGUCCACGCUGUAAACGAUGAGUGCUAGGUGUUAGACCCUUUCCGGGGUUUAGUGCCGUAGCUAACGCAUUAAGCACUCCGCCUGGGGAGUACGACCGCAAGGUUG
rnacentral:rRNA from 1 species